rnacentral:rRNA from 1 species
GGGUCAGUAGGUUGGUCGUGCCACCGGUACGUACUGGUCUCACUGAUUCCUCCUUCCUGAAGAACCGUAAUGCCAUUAAUUUGGUGUCGCGGGGAAACAGGACUGUUACUUUGAGAAAAUUAGAGUGUUUAAAGCAAGCUAACGCUUGAAUACAUUAGCAUGGAAUAAUGAAAUAGGACGAUCGAUCCUAUUUUGUUGGUUUCUAGGAUUGACGUA